UCCUCCCCCUCCUCUUCCCCCUCACGUCUCUCUUCCUCCUCCACCUCCUCCUCCUCCUUAUCCCUCUCCUCCCCCUCCUCUUCUCCCUCACGCUCUUCUUUUUCUCCCAUUCCUCCCCCUCUCUCUCCAGUCUCCUCCAGCUCCCUUGUUCUCCUCCCCCCAGAUCCUCCUCCACUGCCACUGACCAAGCACUGGAGUUGCAGGAUUUCGGAGGAUGAGAACUAAAUCUUCCUUCGGAGGCUGCCUCCACUCUCCUUCCCCUCCAACUUUUUCUGGUCAGCGACCUCCUGACAAACAUGCAGGAGGACCCCUCUAACUAUGUUUUACUAACCAAUGUGUGAGUUUCUCUCCCCAGAAGCCUCCUGCCCUACCUAAGAGGGCUGCUGGACCUCCUGCUGGCCAGUCUCCAUUUAAGAAGGUUCGCAAAUCUUCCAUUUCAUUAAAUUUACCUAGUUUUAUUUUCAACAUUUUAGCUACAUGUGAUUUUCUGGAUGUGAUCUGAUCAGAUUUUAUUUGAAUCAGUCUGUUGUGAUUAUGUCUGAUCAGAUCUAUUCCAACUUUAUUUGAAUGGAUUUUCUUGGAUUGUAUUUUGUGUGAUUCUAUCGGAGCUCGGUUCUUGUCGGUGGAACUCUGGUCAGGGUUUCCUGUUAGAGGUGUGGGUGGAUCUGGGAGGGAUCGUGGGAUACCUCCAGUGGUCCCCCCCUUACAGUGAAGCUCCACUCUGUCAGAAGGUGAACAGGAUGCAGACGGCAUGUUACACAGGAGUAACAUGUAUGUCUGUAUCCCACCCUGGACCCACAGUGGAGUCCACAGUGACAAGAUCACAGUUCAGGAGAGUCACACUGGGAUUUAAAAGGGGGGUCAAAUGUCUUAUUUAAGAUAAUAAAUGUAGUGUGAGGGUGAAGGUCUCGCUGCCAGAGGGAAGUUUCCAGAAAAAAAGGUACGUACGGAUCCCUGUGAAUGCUGCUGUAUGAAAAGGUGAGUUUGGGAUUUUGAUUUUGCAUUCGUAUAUCUAAUAUUUUGAAAUCUCAACAAUAGUAACACUUGGAGAAGAUUCUGCUGCGUUUUUCUUUUUGAUUUCUUUCAGACUGAUGACCCCGGGACCCAAGACCAAGACAAGGAUGAACCCAAAAGACGACUUAAAGACGAGUGACCGAGCCCCAACAGAGAUGAAGCCAGAGAUGACGACCAGCCUGUGAGGAGAAAAAAGAACAACUUUACUGAGACUUUACUGGAUGCACUGGUGCUUCAAUGACACCAAGCAGAUUCAGACAGGAUGGAACAGAGAUGAUGGGAGGCAGAUCCAGGACCAGUGCAUGACCAUCGCAAGACCAUUCAGUUAACACAAGAGCUCUCUCUCCAAGAUCCUCAAUCUAAUGAAAGAUCAGAUAAACAAACCAGACAAGGAACAGCCCAGAAGGAAGUCGGAGCACCCAGAGGAAACCCACACAGUCGCAGAGAGAACAUGAACAGAAAGAACCAG